GACUCAGCAGCAGUCAGUCAGUCAGAAGAGCUCUCUCAGACGGACACCACGUUAUUAAAGUAAGUUCUAUUAUUUAUUUAUGUUCGCUUCAUACGUGAUAUAUCUUCACUAGAUAGACUAUUUUUGUUUACAAUAUGUAGCCAUUGCAAUGACUUGUAGUAAAUAUUAGUUUGGAGGAGGUUGGUGGAGUAAGUUAACAGUCAGUCAAGCUCAUAAAGAAAAACACAGCGUUUUAAAAAUGUCAGCUGUUUAACGUUAUUUCACGUUUGGUAGUUUUAUCCGAGUUGAAAACUGUCAGCUUUGAGUUGACUUUUGAGGCACUUUUUACUCAGCUGUUCUAUGGAAACGUAUCAGGACAAAUAAAACGCUAACCAAAAGUUAUUCUGUCCAGAGUAACGUUAUCCAUGUAAGUAAUUUACCAGAUGAUAUCAAUUGACUAAAUUAAUAAUGACAUUGCGUAUGAAACAAACUGUCUGCUUAAUCAGAUGAACAGACCCGCGUCAGUUAUUCAUGACUUCGCUACGCCACGAGCAACACUUGAUUCUAUUAGAAAAAGCUUUUUUAAAUGUCUCGCGUGACGUCUGGUAUAUUAACUGAAAAAAAAUCGCUUUGAAGUGACCACACCUUGAGCUGACGUUUUCAGAAGAGAACCGUGUUUUAAGAUCUCAUUUUGUCCAACAUUGCGUCCUAUGACAGAUAUAAUACUUAUUUCAUUAUUGUUCUGUGUAUGUGUGACCUUCAUCAUUUGAGGUUAUGUGUUGAUUUCACCUCUGAAUAUUUCCUCUUAUAGGUCCAUCAUCCUUUCAUGCGCUACACAGCAUUGAUAAAUGCUGAAUUUAAAAGAAUCACUACUGUCUUAUGUUCCUGCGUGUCACCUGGACCUCCAAUCCAAAAACCUGAUGAAACUCUUCUAUCAGAAAGGAUGACAGCUAGCAAAAAGACUUCAAACAAUUAAUGAUCAAAUGACAGAAGGCAUGGAUGAAGUCAGCAUCAGUGAGGUCAUUUGAAGACACCAAUGUUGGGAUUUGUGCUCUCAAACAACAUGCUUCUUGUGAUGAAGAAGAGGAUCUUUGUAUAGUCCUGGAAGCCAUGAAGGUGUUGCAACAUCGUGUUUGAGCUGAUGUAUGCCUUAAACCUGAGCUAUCCUGAUCUUCGCUUUAUUUUUGAGGAAAUCCAAACUGCAUUGAGAGUAACUUUAACGAACAGUUUCUUUCAGUGAAA